rnacentral:lncRNA from 1 species
AUCCUAAAUCAUUCAAAGAACAUGAGUUUAUGCAAUGUCUGAAAUCAUCUACUUCAAGGAGCGAGACUGGCAAGCCACCAAACUUCUCCUCCUCUUCCUAAAUCACAUUAAAGUCCCCUCCAAUAAGCCAAGGAGCAGUUAUAUGUGAUGCCAUAUCAUAUAAAGAAUCCCAUAGCUCAAUUCUUUCAUUGCGAUCACAUUUGGCGUAUACUAGCGUGAGGAUGAUUUCUGCAUGAGUUUCAGUAUUCACCAAUCUUAAAGUCAAGUCGAGUUAUGUUAUGCAGAAUAGUAACUACAUA